rnacentral:rRNA from 1 species
UACGGAGGGGGCUAGCGUUGUUCGGAAUUACUGGGCGUAAAGCGCACGUAGGCGGCUUUGUAAGUUAGAGAUGAAAGCCCGGGGCUCAACUCCGGAAUUGCCUUUAAGACUGCAUCGCUAGAAUUGUGGAGAGGUAAGUGGAAUUCCGAGUGUAGAGGUGAAAUUCGUAGAUAUUCGGAAGAACACCAGUGGCGAAGGCGACUUACUGGACACAUAUUGACGCUGAGGUGCGAAAGCGUGGGGAGCAAACAGG